GAAAAACCUUACCUACCCUUGACAUGUCUAGAAUUUUGCAGAGAUGUGAAAGUGCUCGAAAGAGAACUAGAACACAGGUGCUGCAUGGCCGUCGUCAGCUCGUGUCGUGAGAUGUUGGGUUAAGUCCCGCAACGAGCGCAACCCUUGUCAUUAGUUGCUACGAAAGGGCACUCUAAUGAGACUGCCGGUGACAAACCGGAGGAAGGUGGGGAUGACGUCAGGUCCUCAUGGCCCUUAUGGGUAGGGCUACACACGUCAUACAAUGGCCGGUACAGAGGGCUGCCAACCCGCGAGGGGGAGCCAAUCCCAGAAAACCGGUCGUAGUCCGGAUCGCAGUCUGCAACUCGACUGCGUGAAGUCGGAAUCGCUAGUAAUCGCGGAUCAGCUUGCCGCGGUGAAUACGUUCCCGGGUCUUGUACACACCGCCCGUCACACCAUGGGAGCGGGUUCUGCCAGAAGUAGUUAGCCUAACCGCAAGGAGGGCGAUUACCACGGCAGGGUUCGUGACUGGGGUGAAGUCGUAACAAGGUAAGCGUAGUGCU
rnacentral:rRNA from 1 species